rnacentral:piRNA from 1 species
GCCAUACUGUGGGGAUAAGAUCAA